rnacentral:rRNA from 1 species
GACGAACGCUGGCGGCGUGCUUAACACAUGCAAGUCGAACGGAAAGGCCCUGCUCUUGUGGGGUGCUCGAGUGGCGAGCGGGUGAGUAACACGUGAGUAACCUGCCCUUGACUUUGGGAUAACUUCAGGAAACUGGGGCUAAUACCGGAUAGGAGCUCCUGCUGCAUGGUGGGGGUUGGAAAGUUUCGGCGGUUGGGGAUGGACUCGCGGCUUAUCAGCUUGUUGGUGGGGUAGUGGCUUACCAAGGCUUUGACGGGUAGCCGGCCUGAGAGGGUGACCGGCCACAUUGGGACUGAGAUACGGCCCAGACUCCUACGGGAGGCAUCAGUGGGGAAUAUUGCGCAAUGGGCGGAAGCCUGAUGCAGCAACGCCGCGUGCGGGAUGACGGCCUUCGGGUUGUAAACCGCUUUCGCCUGUGACGAAGCGUGAGUGACGGUAAUGGGUAAAGAAGCACCGGCUAACUACGUG